rnacentral:rRNA from 1 species
GGCUAUUUCCGAGGGGGCAUGCCUGUUUGAGUAUCAUGAACACCUCAACUCUCAUGGUUUGCCAUGAUGAGCUUGGAUUUUGGAGGUUUUGCUGGCCUGUGGUCAGCUCCUCUCAAAUGGAUCAGCCUACCAGUAUUUGGUGGCGUCACAGGUGUGAUAACUAUCUACGCUUGUGGUUGUCUGCCGAGUAACCUUUGGUGACAGAGGUCCACUGGAGCUUGUAAAUGUCUUUCCUCAGUGAAGACAGCUUUUUGACCGUUCGAUCUCAAAUCAGGUAGGACUACCCGCUGAACUUAAGCAUAUCAAUAAGCGGAGG